rnacentral:rRNA from 1 species
UACGGGGGGGGGCAAGCGUUGUUCGGAAUUACUGGGCGUAAAGGGCUCGUAGGCGGCCAACUAAGUCGGACGUGAAAUCCCUCGGCUUAACCGGGGAACUGCGUCCGAUACUGGAUGGCUUGAGGUUGGGAGAGGGAUGCGGAAUUCCAGGUGUAGCGGUGAAAUGCGUAGAUAUCUGGAGGAACACCGGUGGCGAAGGCGGCGUCCUGGACCAACACUGACACUGAGGAGCGAAAGCCAGGGGAGCAAACGGG